AUGAGAACCUGGUGCAGGUGGAAGGAAAGGGGACCCCACAGGGAAGGUAGAAGGGCCAGGGCUUUCCCCAGCAGUGGCCAGAUCUGAACAGAGAUGACUCUGUGUUGCUGUGGCCACUCCAGACCCCAGACCGCAGCCUGAUAUCCAAGCUCCCGAGGGAGCAGAAUGCAUCAGCCACCUCAGAGAGGAGGCGCAGCCCAGUCAGGGCCCCACGUUGUCACGGCUCCAGCUGUCCUCAGGAGGGAAACUGUCUUGCAAGCCUGGAGACUUCUGGUUGCUUCUCGGAGGAAAGGUAGCAUCUCCCUUCCUUUCUGGGAAACAAACAUUCCCGAGUACCAACUGCGUGCCAGGCCCAUUGCUAGCUGCAAUCUUAGGCGAGUCCCAAACCUCUCUGAGACUUGGGCCUGUCAUCUGGAAACAGAGUAGUCUAUAAAAGAUUGACUUCAAAGGGCUGUGAGGACAGUCAAAGAGACCAUAAAGCACAGAGCUUGGGCAGGGGUGGGCAUUCAGGAGAGGUGGUGGCCCCUUCCCCUGUGCCUGCCCCUGGGAAACCCUGUCCCCUACCUGGCUGGCAGCACAGGAGACGUGGAGAAGGGACAACCCGGUCUGGGGACGGGGCGGUUUCUCCAGGCUGGGCUGCCACUGUCUUCCUUCCCUGUGUGGGUGGUGGCUCAGGGCCUGGUGGUCUGCCACAAAGGUCCAGAAGGUCCACCCUUUCUGGUGGCUGGGGGUGGCAGUCAGGGGCUUCAGGACAAGCCUCUGGCUGCUGUGGCCCCCUACCCUUCCUCUGCACCUUGGGAGCCCCAGCCCCUGGGCUGUCUGAGUCUAUGCUAACAAAGUAGGAGCCAGAAACGUUCCUUUAGACACAGGUCACUGUGAGCCUUGGCUAAGCCUGGGGACCUCUUCUCGGCCCUGGCUACGGCCCAGAUGCCCACCCUGAACCUUCCACGAGUCAGGGCAGGCACCAUUUCCCCAGGACCAGCUGAGCAGUAAAGUCUCUUCUGGUUUAUCUGGAGGAAGGAAAAUGACGUCAUGAGGUAAACCGCACAGCCUGAAACCACGAGGCUGGGCGCCCCAGUGAUGUUUGCUUUUCAGCAAAAGUCACCAUGCACACAGAGGGACAGGGAGCCCAGGCCAUUGUGGUCAGAGGGUCAGGGGGAAGACAGAGGGAGAUUUUUUAACACGGAACCACAAGGAAGGAGAGGCCCCCGGAGAGGACGGACGUCAGAGGCCAGAGGGCGGCUUCCUGGGGUGCUGUGAGAGACUUGUCACCUGCUGGGUGGGGCAGUCUCUGCUGGUGUCUCACGAGGUCUCGGGCUUGGCACCUGAGGCAUGCAAAGUCACGUUUGCCAUGGCGGGCACAAUAAUAGUGGCAAGAAUAAUAAUAUCGAUAACGCAUCCUGACCAUGUGUCUCUGUAGCCCUGUCACCUCCUCACCACCGUCCCAUAAGACGGGACCCUGCGAGGCAGACGCAGCCUGCACACAGAGGAGGGAGGGGAGGCUGCUGGGGCUCCGGCCUGUGCUUUCGCCUCCAGACCAUGGAGCUUCUUCACCCACAUGCUGGGUGCCGUCCAGCCUGAGGCCUGUGUGCAGGGUCCCGGUUUCAAGCCCCGAUUCCCACCUGCUAACUGUGACCCAGGAAGCCCCACCCCCCGCAGCCCUCAGUUUCUUCACCUGCCAAACUCCCUGCCUUCGAGGUGAGAGAUUACGUAAGUAAGGUAAAGCUUAUUCUUCGAUACCGUUCUCUUACUCUGUCAAUGCUUUGAGCAGGGUUCCCUGGAGAAACUGGCCCCAAAGCGUGGGCCCAGACACUGGUCUUGAUGGGCUGGCUGAGGCGGGAGCUCCGUCUCAUGGGAGUGGAUGGGAGUGGCAGGCAGGUGGGUGGCACCUUCUGUGGAGCGGGGGCCAGUCGGCAGCUUAAACGAGGGCAGAGAGAGCUGUCUAGGGAGGUCCAAUGGGGCUUCACUUUUCUCAGGAAUCUCAGGGUCUCCAAGCCCCCACUCUAGGGUGGCAUGAGUUUGGGGGGUUCCUAAAGGAAGUCCCCUGUGUCUGGGUGUGCCUGGGUGGCAGUGUAGGGGCAGGUGUGGUGCCCACAUUGUCCAUAUGUCCUCACCCGCCCCAGGCCCCAGGCCCUCUGCCUCAGGGUGGGGCCGCAGCUCAGCUUUGAUGCCCCUGAGGGCCUGCCUGCCGGAACUGCUGUUUCAGGCAGGAGGUGGGAGGACGCAAUGCAGGCGGGGUUGCCCAACCAAAACACCCUCAGCCCAAUUCCUCCCACAGGCCUCCUGGAACCCGCAUUUCUUCAGUGGAGUCACAGCUUUUUGGGCUAUGGCUCCUCUUUUCAGUUCUUUUUCUUUAUAACACAAAGACACCAUGAGAGAGGCCGUACUUCACAAUCCCCAAGUGUUAGAAGGCAGAGGGUCUUCCAGACAGCCACCACCAGGCCUGUGCUUUACAGAGGAGGAAGCUGAAAGGACUGGUCCAAGACCACACAGCGGGGAGCAGGUGGCAGCACGGACGCUCGAAGCUUGGUCUCUCGCUGUGGAGUUUUCUCUCGCCUGUCUCUACCGCUAUCAUCCUAAUACUGAAGCAUCAGGUCCUUUUUCAAGACACCACCAGCUACAAGCAGAGGGCAAGCCUGGGGCUGAGAAGCACUGUGGGGAGGAGGGGUGGAGCUGGGAGAGGGUCACGGGAGUCAGGGGCCAGGGAAAGCUGCCAAGCAGAGACAGCCUCUCCUGCCCCUUUCCCAGGGCUGACUCAGCACCUUACGCGUGAGGAUUUGUCAUCAACAACUGACCCCAAAAGCCAUGGUGCCCUGGGGUUGGUGUCCCAGUGAUGCUUUUCUGACUCGUGGCCCAGGAUGACACAAAGCCCCAAGGGACAAGCCAGAGAUCCCACUGGCCCAGCCAGAUGCUCCAAGAUUCCUUUUGCCUGUAACCCAGAACUGGCCCACCCUCUUGCCUGGUUACUGGGGCUUUCACGAAAGAGCAAUGGACAGUGGGAAGGGCUCGCUGUGAGGCAGGAUCAGUCCUGGGGCCCUGGGAGUGUCUCUUCCCUUCCCCGAGCCUCAGUGUUCUUGUCUGUACAAUGGAAGUUCAGGUCAGAUGGUCUCUGGAUUCCUUCCCAGCUCUGAGAACCAGGUUCUACCUCAGCUGUUCUCAGAAAGGACAGGGUGGUCCGGGCUGGGCAUGGGCUUGAGGCUUGUGCCCCUCUCCUAGCCCCAAGGACUUCCCAUCCUUUCAGGUCCCGCUGGGGCUCAGCUGCCCAACUCUGAUCAGAAAGAAGAGCUGUAAGUCUGGCUGGGCGGUGGCUCAUGCCUCUAAUCCCAGCACUUUGGGAGGCCAAAGAGGAUGGACUGCUUGAGCCCAGGAGUUCGGGACCAGCCUGGGAACCCUCUCAUGGGACAGCUGGACACAGCCAGGCGGGAAGGACUCUUCACCAGCCCCGUCUCCAUAGUCCCGGCUGCCAUCACUGCUGGCAUCGACACUGACCCUCCAGCUCCAGCACCAGACCCUGCGGAAGCCUGUGGUCCUGGAGAGCCUGAGAGCCCUCAGAGCGAUACCUUCAGCUAUCCCAGGAGAAGGACACUCUUCGCUUUCAGCACCAGGGGAAAACUAGGAAAAAGCCAAGCCACUGAGUCAAUGAGGGCCUUCCCUCAGCUGCAGACAGCAAGCCCCUUCCAGGCGCUUCCCCGCAGCUACGGCAGCAAGUGCCCCAGGGGCAGGGCCGGGAAUGCUCACUGAGAAAUCCCAGAGCUGCCUGCACUUCCUCUCACCGGCUUCCCCUUCUCUCAGCAGCCACAGGCACGGGAAAGCUGCUGAUUCCCGGAGGACCACUUACACCAAGCACUGUGAGCUGAUCGAUGGCAGAGUCUCUCCAGCUCAUGAGUCUUCAGUGACUCCCCAUUGUCCAUGGAAAACAGAAGACACCUGAGGCCUUGCACAGUGGACCUUAUUCUCAUCCCUCCCUCAGGAGAAUCCUCUGCCUCGAGCCGAAGGCCGUGGGCUCUGCAGACUCCAGGCCUCUCCUUCCCAGGGCGGUCUUCCCUUUCCCUAUGCUCAAGGCACAGCCCAAGUCCCACCUCCUCCAUUGCAAGGGACACCACCCUCUGAAUUCCUGUUGGGGAAAGAGCCUAGUUUUGCAGCCAGAUAGGCCCGAGUUAGAGUCUCAGCUCAGUUCCAAUCCCAUUAGCUGGUUGCAAGUCAUUAACUUUGUCAACCUUCAGUAAAUGGAAAUCAGGCCCACACUGUAGGUGCCUGGGGGUGCUGAUGGUUGAGUGGAAUCUGUUCUUUUGACCUUCCCAGCAUCUUUCCCCUUCCCAGCAUCCUUUCCCCUUUCUUUUGGUGAUGUCGCCUGGAUUUUCUGUUGGGUAUGUGGUCCAGGGGUGGCUGACCUCACUUCCUGGUUCCAGCAUAAGAUCAUGACUGAGAGCUGGCCAAUGAGAAUAUUCCCUCGCCCCAGCCACAGAGUCAGAUUCCCGGGGAUGAACUUGUGAGUCAAAACAGGCUGGUGGGAACACACUUGGGGUGUUAGCUGGAGUUAUUGAAGCUUUCUUUCCCACUGGAGUCACUAGGUAGAUAGAAGGAAAGCUGAAGCCUUUAGCCACUGCUGUGGGUUGAAGUGUGUACCCCAAAAAGAUAUGUUCAAAUUCUAAUCCCCUGCACCUUUGGAGGUGGCCUUGUUUGGAAAAAGGGUCUUUGCAGAUGUAGGCAAGUGAAGAUGAAGCCAUCCUGGAUCAGGGUGGCUUGUGGCUUGUGUCCAAUGCCUUGUGUCCUUCUAAGAAGAGAGAAAUCGAGACACAGACACACACAGGGAAAAGGCCGAGUGAUGACAGCAGCAGAGAUGGGAGCGCGGCAGCUACAAGCUGAGGGAUGCCAAGCAUGGCUGGCACCACCCAGGAGCCUGGAGAGAGGGAGGGGACAGCCUCCUCCUUAGAGCCUCGAAACACCCUACCCACAUCCUGGCUUCAGACUUCCAGCCUGCACAACUGGGAGAGAAUCACUUUCUGCUGUGUUAAGCUACACUAGUUCAUGGUGAUUUGUUACAGCAGCUGCAGGAAAUGAACACAGACACCAAAUGGAGAUACUGUGUCUGAGAUUGAAGCCAGCACCGUGGAAUCAGAGCUGCCAGGAGGGAGACGUGGACUCUCGACCCUGUGGCCACACUUGGUUCCCCCAGCAGCUGAAGCACGAAGUCUACUGGACUUACUAGACUUUCCAGUUACCUGGACCAAUAUAUUCUCUGUUUUACUUAAGCUGUUUCGAUUGGAUUUCUGGCUAUUUCAACUGAGAGAGGCCUAACUCUCAGUUAUACAGAGACAAUGGAUGUAAAAUGCAUUGAAGGCCAGGCACAGUGGCUCGCGCCUGUAAUCCCAACACUUUGGAAAGCCAAGGCAGGAGGAUGGCUUG
rnacentral:lncRNA from 1 species